rnacentral:rRNA from 1 species
GCAUAUCAAUAAGCGGAGGAAAAGAAACCAACAGGGAUUGCCCCAGUAACGGCGAGUGAAGCGGCAACAGCUCAAAUUUGAAAUCUGGCCCCCAGGGCCCGAGUUGUAAUUUGCAGAGGAUGCUUUUGGCGCGGUGCCUUCCGAGUUCCCUGGAACGGGACGCCAUAGAGGGUGAGAGCCCCGUCUGGUCGGACGCCUAGCCUGUGUAAAGCUCCUUCGACGAGUCGAGUAGUUUGGGAAUGCUGCUCUAAAUGGGAGGUAUAUGUCUUCUAAAGCUAAAUACCGGCCAGAGACCGAUAGCGCACAAGUAGAGUGAUCGAAAGAUGAAAAGCACUUUGAAAAGAGGGUUAAAUAGUACGUGAAAUUGUUGAAAGGGAAGCGCUUGUGACCAGACUUGGGCCCGGUGGAUCAUCCAGCGUUCUCGCUGGUGCACUCCGCCGGGUUCAGGCCAGCAUCAGUUCGCCGCGGGGGAAAAAGGCUUCGGGAACGUGGCUCCUACGGGAGUGUUAUAGCCCGUUGCAUAAUACCCUGGGGCGGACUGAGGUUCGCGCUCCGCAAGGAUGCUGGCGUAAUGGUCAUCAGCGACCCGUCUUGAAACACGGACCAAGGAGUCGUCUUCGUAUGCGAGUGUUCGGGUGUAAAACCCCUACGCGUAAUGAAAGUGAACGCAGGUGAGAGCUUCGGCGCAUCAUCGACCGAUCCUGAUGUUCUCGGAUGGAUUUGAGUAAGAGCAUACGGGGCCGGACCCGAAAGAAGGUGAACUAUGCCUGUAUAGGGUGAAGCCAGAGGAAACUCUGGUGGAGGCUCGCAGCGGUUCUGACGUGCAAAUCGAUCGUCAAAUAUGGGCAUGGGGGCGAAAGACUAAUCGAACCUUCUAGUAGCUGGUUUCCG